rnacentral:misc_RNA from 1 species
UACACACUUUUUCCUCAGGCAACCAACAAAAUCUGCGCUUGCAAUUUAACUAAAAAUAAAAGUUUAAAAAAUCAAUAAAUAUGUUGGGCCGCAGCAGUGUAAUUGCACGCAAUUUCUCCCAGUCGAUGGUGCGCUACAGCGGCCAUGGUGGUGUUCCCGGUGAGAACCUGCCCUUCGGACUGCAUAACAAAUAUAGGAUCACCGCGCUGUUCACCAUCGGCUGUGUUCUGGGCUUCGGCUCCCCCUUCCUGAUCGUCAGGCACCAGCUGUUGAAGAAGUAAGUGGCCACAGCAGCCCCACAAAAGCCACGGCAGCAACAACAACAACAACAUGCAAAAAAUGUAAGAUUACGUUGUUGUUUGUUGUAGCCGCAGUAUCGUACAUUGUGCUACAGCUUUAAAUUAAGUCAAAAGUUUAAACGUAAUAAAGUUGCCCAAAAACUAAA